rnacentral:rRNA from 1 species
AGUGAACGCUGGCGGUAGGCCUAACACAUGCAAGUCGAACGGCAGCACAGUAAGAGCUUGCUCUUACGGGUGGCGAGUGGCGGACGGGUGAGGAAUACAUCGGAAUCUACUUUUUCGUGGGGGAUAACGUAGGGAAACUUACGCUAAUACCGCAUACGACCUACGGGUGAAAGCAGGGGAUCUUCGGACCUUGCGCGAUUGAAUGAGCCGAUGUCGGAUUAGCUAGUUGGCGGGGUAAAGGCCCACCAAGGCGACGAUCCGUAGCUGGUCUGAGAGGAUGAUCCGCCACCUUGGAACUGAGACACGGUCCAGACUCCUACGGGAGGCAGCAGUGGGGAAUAUUGGACAAUGGGCGCAAGCCUGAUCCAGCCAUACCGCGUGGGUGAAGAAGGCCUUCGGGUUGUAAAGCCCUUUUGUUGGGAAAGAAAAGCAGCAGGUUAAUACCCCGCUGUUCUGACGGUACCCAAAGAAUAAGCACCGGCUAACUUCGUG